UGUGUGUCAGUGGCGGAGCUAGGGGUGGCCACCAUGGACCGAAGCCUGGCCACCCCACUCGCAAUUGCUGUUUUAGUAAUUUUUUUGGGAAAUUGUUUUGGCACAAUUUAGUUAUUUAUAUUAAAAAAAAAAAAUUGUGAAAUCCUCUCUGUACAAACUUAACAUGUGCGCACGCCAAUGUCGCCCCCCCCCAUAGUCCGAUAUAAAAAUGCUGCCCGAAACUUUGUGCCACCACAGGCUGAUCGCUUGCCCCUGCCUUACCACCCCUUUGAAAAAAUCCUGGCUCCGCCCCUGCUGUGUGUGUGUGCGUGUGCGUGCGUGCGUGCACGCGCCCAUAUUCAAUGAAAGUAAAUACUAACUGAGGUUAAUAUUCUGCCUUACAACUCUUGUGAGACACAGAAGAAAAAUGCAUAUGGAUUUGGAACAAUAUGAGGAUAAGUAAAUGUAAUAUUUUACACCUUGGGGGUAUCUGAUCACAAGCAGGGACAGAUUAUGAAUUGAAAAGGCCCUGGGGCCAAUUAUCUCCAAGGGCCCCCAUCCAUCAAUCGUUGUUCAUGCCCAAAAGUUGUUGGGCGGCUCACCAGUCUAGAUCAUGCUGCCUUAAAGCCGCAGUCAAGGGCCCCUGGGCACUGGCCGGGUACAGUUCAAAUCUUUCCGUUUACUCAUCAAAGAGGUUAACACUUUUAAAGGUUAACAAAGUUGCUUGACCUUUCAGAGAGUGAUGGUGGUCUCUGUAUCUCCCUUUCUCUCAGCUGAAGAACAUCCAAUUGAAUUACAGAACAGGUCAUUAGCAGACUUAAAGCGUAGUGUGAGGUCACUUCUUACCCUAUUUCACGUCCAAAUCACUAUACGGGUUUUAAGCCUAAUUUUCUGCAACCUCUCACACUUUCUUUCUCUUAAAGUCAGUUUUAGAGAGAAUGAUGGAGCUUUCCAAUACAGUAAGCUGCUGUAAAUGUAGUAAUUUUCAGUUAUGAAAAACAGAAUUGUAAUUCUACACAAUCAACGUAUGGAUUUAUUUAUCUCUGUCUAUUUAAACUUCUAAACAAAAGAAUUCGAACAAGUCAUUGCUUGUGAUCUCUUUAGAUAUCUGCCCAUCUCGGCGUGUGCGUGUGCACGCGCGCUGCUGUAACGUGCCGUUCAGGCCUUUGUCUCAGAUAUGUCACCUUUAGUGUUGUUGACUCACUGGUGUGGAUGAAUCGAUGAGAAGUGUGUUUCCCUCAAUUCAGGCCACAGAGCAAUUCAUACAGUGACACCAAAACAUCUCAAGAGUUUAACCUCUUUUUAAAUGAUCACACAAACGCAGUGGUGCUUUCAUUUCUAGUCGAUAGAUGUACGUAAGCUUUAAAGGAACCCAGAUAGCAAAAUCAAAAGUAAUAAGUAAUGUCGGAAUGAUUGUAUUUACAAGAUAAGCGUGCAUGAGUACCAACAUUUUGAUUAAAGAAUCGUGGCAUAACUGGUAUUGGUAAUAUUUCUGUUUUACUUUUGUGUUUUGACUGUACGGUUUAGCUUGUAUGUGUUGUACUGUGAAUGAAGAAUAGUGUUAAAUCUUAAGACAAGACUCAAAGGUGCACUCAGCAAUUUUCUUUAGAUGUUUUGGACUUACACUGACACCUAGUGGUGUGGAUGCAGCAUAAUUCCAAUACAAUAGUUUUAGUUACCGAUGUCAUUGUAGAAAUUCAAUAUUUGCAGUCAGCCAUGAUUAAUUUAAUCAAUGAGUGAAAGUGUCACGUAACAGGACGGUUACUGAGAUUGGUCGAGUAGUAUUUGGCUGGUCAUGUGAUUCCAACAUGGCCGCCCCCAUGUGCGGACCCUCUCAGUGUAGAAUAAAACCGCUUUUAUAAGGUAACUGAUGUGACUGGAGACUUCAUGUUAAUGUGAGUGGUCAUUUUAAACAUUAUGACUAUUAAUUUCUUUUAGAAGUAAAACUUUUUAAAGGGCGUAUAUGGUGGCAAGAGCGAUGAAAAUAGAUAACGCAUCAAUGACUUGCUUAAUGGACCGCUUUGCUCUUCAUUUUGGUGCUAAAAGAAACUUCUUUGUAAGGAAGUGAAAAAGAGGAGUUAGAAAUAUGAACUUAAAUGCCUUGAACGUAUAUUACAUCGUAUUUACAUCUUCCGACCGUGUAAAUAUGAACUUCCCAUGAGGACUUGAAAGCAGCAUUAGAAUGUAAGUGACCGCAAAUGAGAGAGCAUAAAUCAUGGUUAGUGUAAUGUGCUUACAAUGUAAACAAAAGGGUAAAAUGCACACACUGUUUUGAAACUGGAGGGUAGUGUUCGCUACCCAUAGUGAUAUAACUAUGAUUACAUAGUUGUAAUCAUAGUAUUCGCUGUCCAUUCCUGCAUACUGUGGCGCCGUUUUGUGGUCCUUUCUGCAUAACGCGGCGGCUCGUUUCUGCUCAUCACGGCCCAUCGCAUUUCACGGACGACCAACCAGCCCGCUCCGUUAUCCCGCUGUCAAGUCCGCCCCGAUCGGCCCCAAAGUGUGCCGGCCCACCGGGAAAAUGCCCGGUAUGCUAGAUUGCCAGUCCUGUCCUUGUUAAGUGAUGGCUAAUGAAACAAUGAAAAUCAAUUAAAUACAAUGGUUUGUAUUUCUCCAUGAGUGUGCUACUUCUCGAUAAAAUACUUUUACCAUGAAAGUAUCUCAGCCUAAAUGUGAAAUCACUCACUCGUUCACUACUCCAGAUUCUGAGAUUGCCACACAAUGCACUAUAUAGGGAACAGGGCACUACAUAGGGAACAGGUGAUCAGAUUGAUCAGACUGUGCUUAAAGUAACUGAAUAAAUAAAAGCUAAAUGCCGGAUGAUUAAUGUUUUCUCUAUGAGAUGGACAAUGACAUGCAGCAGCAGUGCAAAAAUUCUAUAUUUUAACCUUGCGCAGUGAGUGCCGUAAGUCAUGAAAGACGAUAUGCAAAUGUCUCAUAAAUGAACCAUGUAAAACGGCCUUUUGAUAUUAUUUUUAUUAUUAUUAUUUUAUCCCCCUUUUCUCCCCAAUUUGGAAUGCCCAAUUCCCACUACUUAGUAGGUCCUCGUGGUGGCGCUGUUACUCAAGUCUCAGUUGUCUCUGCUUCUGAAACCGUCAAUCCGUGCAUCUUAUUACGUGACUCGUUGUGCAUGACACCGCAGAGACUCAUAGCAUGUGGAGACUCAUGCUACUCUCCGCGAUCCAUGCACAACUUGCCACGCGCCCCAUUGAGAGCGAGAACCACUAAUCAUGACCACGAGGAGGUUACCCCAUGUGACUCUACCCUCCCUAGCAACCGAGCCAAUUUGGUUGCUUAGGAGACCUGGCUGGAGUCACUCGGCACGCCAUGGAUUCAAACUCGUGACUCGAGGGAUGGUAGACAGCGUCAAUACUCACUGAGCUACCUAGGCCCCGCCCACCUUUUGUUAUUUAAAAUAUAAUGACUGGAAAUGACAUGAUUAAUACUAAAAUGAGAUCAUAAUCAGCUGCUUUCUUUAAACAUGAAAGGGUGUAAAGACACCUCAAAACCUGCCAAAUGCAUUUCAGCAUCAAAGGAAAUGAACAGCGGCCGAUCAAACAAAUAGACACAAUCUAUAAAUAGAAGUUUUUUUAGACUAUGGAAAAAAACGAUUGACAGCUCCACAGAGAUCAGACAUAGUUGACAAAGGUUAACUGCACUGACGUUGAUGCAAUUAAUUCAUUUUUAUUAUCACAACACUGCCCUUUAUCUUUGUGCUCCACCUUCCCCGUGAGCAUGAUCUCUGAGGCAGCUGUGGGACGCUGCCUAUAGCGAGAUUGGACUGACAAAAUUUAGAUGCCAAUAAAGAGUUCUCCCACAGAUAUUCUUUUUUUACAUGCAAUAAUCAUUUAACUGAAUCAUCGAAGGUACAAAUACAUUUUUGGAAUUGAAAUAAUCCAUUCAAAAUCCUCUUGGCUCAAAAAGUUAAGGAGGCACGUGCUCCCUCAAUCAGAAUGGGCAUGACUCUGGAUAAGACUCACAGUCUCUUCAAUGGGUAGAGAUCUAGGAGCUUUAAACGGCUUUAUACAGUGCAUGCCGUUGAAUAGUCUGUGUUUAUCCCUCAAAUGGUGUACUGUAGUGUCCUCAAGUGAUAGACUAGAAGAGUGCAGAAUUCAGCUCUAAUUGUUGUCCAUAAUAACUGAUUCAUUCUCUUCUCAAAUUAACAGGCAGUUGCUUGUAAGUAGAUCAGAUUCAGUUUGCGAGACCAUCUGUUUUUGCUCACUUGUCUGAGCAAAGAAUUACAUCAUGGAUCAAAAGUCCACCUCCCCUCAAAGACAGCCCUUGAAAAACAGGUCCAAGUCCACAGAUGAAGUCCAGCAAGCCAAAAAGGCCUUCCACAUACCCCAGAAAUCACUGCCUGGUGGCUCUGACCUCCUGGAGAAGGUGAAGGAGGGACCAGAAGAAGAUGUGACUCCAGCAUCAUCCACAGAAGAGCUGAAGUGAUGCUUCCAUUAAUCUGUGUUUAACACACACACACACACACACACACACACACACACACACACUGCAGGUGGAUUAGUAAAAUCACAGCUUAACACAUUAUUUUGCUGGAACAGAACUUCAUUAUUAAGUACAGCUCAACACACUACAUACUCGCGUUUUCUAGCAAAAUGAGGACAUACCACAGACUUCAAUUGUUUUUUAAUAUAUAAAGUUAAUUGUUAUUACUAUAGACUAAACCUAAAAUCAAUAUUUUUAAUUUGAUCAAUAAUUGUUCCAUAUUAGGAAAAAACACACAUUUGUCUGAAUUGCUGUAAACUGUCAUGCUGUGUAUAUAAACG